UACAGAGGUCUCAAGCGUUGUUCGGAUUCAUUGGGCGUAAAGGGUGCGUAGGCGGCGCGGUAAGUCGGAUGUGAAAUCUCGGAGCUUAACUUCGAAACUGCAUUCGAUACUGCCGUGCUUGAGGACUGGAGAGGAGACUGGAAUUUACGGUGUAGCAGUGAAAUGCGUAGAGAUCGUAAGGAAGACCAGUGGCGAAGGCGGGUCUCUGGACAGUUCCUGACACUGAGGCACGAAGGCCAGGGGAGCAAAACGGG
rnacentral:rRNA from 1 species